rnacentral:rRNA from 1 species
GUGUCAGCAGCCGCGGUAAUACGGAGGAUGUAAGCGUUAUCCGGAUUUAUUGGGUUUAAAGGGUGCGUAGGCGGAAAAAUAAGUCAGUGGUGAAAACCUGCAGCUUAACUGUAGAAUUGCCAUUGAUACUGUUAUUCUUGAGUAUGGUCAGGGUAGGCGGAAUGUGUAAUGUAGCGGUGAAAUGCUUAGAUAUUACACAGAACACCGAUUGCGAAGGCAGCUUGCUGGGCCAUUACUGACGCUGAUGCACGAAAGCGUGGGGAUCGAACAGGAUUAGAUACCCUGGUAGUCCACGCCGUAAACGAUGAUCACUCGCUGUUAGCGAUACACAGUUAGCGGCUAAGCAAAAGCAUUAAGUGAUCCACCUGGGGAGUACGGCCGCAAGGCUGAAACUCAAAUGAAUUGACGGGG